GGGGUGUGACAAUGGAAGGGAGGAAGUAGACUGAGCAAUUCUUCAUCCGGCGAGAGCCACUUCCGGUCAGAACAUCAAUGACCGCCAUUUGAAUCAACAAAAGGAGCUGUAACACUGUGAGGGUCUGGUCAGCUGCUUCAUUCUUGAAGUCAGUGAGACCGCAAACCCACCAGAAGGAACCAACUCCGGACACAGAGGGACUAGAUAAUACUGGCUGAAUGAAGGAAUAUGAACAAGGCCACUUGAAUCCCUACUCUUUGGGCUUCUCCAGUAAAGUGGAUUCACUAGUAUAAGAAUGAGAGGCAUCUAUGUUCUCUAAUUUCUAAAGGUGAUUUCUAUCUUAAAAAUAAUAAUUAGAUUGAAGCACCCGGAUACCUUCUCAACCAUCAUCUUACAUGUAAAGUUCCUGGUAUAGAGCUCAGCACAUUGUCAUUCUCACAAAUGGCAGGCAACUAAAAUGAUAUAAGAUGCCCUUCUUGCAUGGCCGUAUAUCUUGAGCUUAUGGAUGAUUUAUUGCAACUGGCUGUUACUUCUCUCCCUUGAGCUCAUGGAGGGU
rnacentral:lncRNA from 10 species